AAUGACAUCAUUAACAUGUGACAUUUCCUCUACUUGGUAUGGCACUUCCAUUUCUACAUCAUUAGAAUCAAUGCGUCCUCUACGCUUCGUCUUGAUCGCAACACACCAACCUCAUUUGUCCGCGCGUGAUGUAGGAUAUGUUACAUAAUAAACUUGUACAUUAUGUGCAAUUAUAAAAAGAUCAAACAACACACAUCUUUUAUCCAUUCGAAUAUCCACAAUGCCAUACUUUGAAUCCACCCUCGUACCUACUCUCGAUGGAUCAAACCAAUCGCAAUAAAAUAAUACAAUUUUCUUUUCUGUGGUUGUUGAAUUGUAUUCCAACUCAUAGAUGUGUUUAAUCACACCAUAGAAAUCAUCUUGACCUCCUUCUAUUACCCCUUUAACAUGAACCCCGCUAUUUAUUGUCCUCUUGC
rnacentral:lncRNA from 1 species